GAUGAACGCUGGCGGCGUGCCUAAUACAUGCAAGUCGAGCGAACAGACGAGGAGCUUGCUCCUCUGACGUUAGCGGCGGACGGGUGAGUAACACGUGGAUAACCUACCUAUAAGACUGGGAUAACUUCGGGAAACCGGAGCUAAUACCGGAUAAUAUAUUGAACCGCAUGGUUCAAUAGUGAAAGACGGUUUUGCUGUCACUUAUAGAUGGAUCCGCGCCGCAUUAGCUAGUUGGUAAGGUAACGGCUUACCAAGGCAACGAUGCGUAGCCGACCUGAGAGGGUGAUCGGCCACCCUGGAACUGGGCCACGGUCCAGACUCCUGCGGGAGGCACCAGUAGGGAAUCUUCCGCAAUGGGCGAAAGCCUUACGGAGCGACGCCGCGUGUGUGAUGAAGGUCUUCGGAUCGUAAAACUCUGUUAUUAGUGAAGAACAAAUGUGUAAGUAACUAUGCACGUCUUGACGGUACCUAAUCAGAAAGCCCCGGCUAACUACGUG
rnacentral:rRNA from 1 species